CCGCCGUCCCGCGCGUCGCCGCGCCUCCGUGUCGCCUGCGGCCCACCGCCACCGUCGCCAACGGGAUGGAGGAGGCCACAGCGGGCCCGUUGCGCACGCGUGUCUGCAUCAUCGGUAGCUGGCCGGCCGCGCACACGGCGGCCGCCUACGCGGCACUUCCCUCUCCUCCUCCGCCUCGCGAUCCUCGUGGAUCCCGGCUCCUGCGGCGCGUGGGAGGCUCCGCGGCAGAGCAGGCCGAUUCGGUGUCGCGCCCGUCCGCUCAGGUGGGGGGGCGACGGCGGCUGGUCCUGCUGCGCCUGGACGGCCGUCUCCUGCGACCUCGGGAGGGGGUUGGGGCUGCAUCUUGCGGAGACGUGCUGCACCCCAUGGACACGAGAUGCAUGUAUUAUCCAUUGGAUCGGCCUAAGCAUUCUCACUCAAUCCCUGAUCCAUGGCGACAGAGAUGCAGCCCUUGCUUCCAAAGGCCCUGUCAACAUACUGAUUCAACCGGAAGCUCCCAUCAGAACCAUCGAAUCCCCCGUUCUCAAAGACGGCGAUCCUUUUCUUCUAGAGAUGUUGCACUGACAGAUGAUGAUUUCUCCCCAGGCUGAGUGCAGGAUCGCUGGCCGCACCAUGAACGCUGCAGCAAUCCAGGGGCUGGUUCUCGGGUGCGGCACCCACUCUCUCGGACAGGUAUGAAUCCAUGUACAUACAUCGCUACCGCUGCAUCAUUUGGUCAAGGUUGGUGUACGCGUCUCUGGGAUUUGGGAAUGCAGGAAGCAAGAUUUGCGAAAUCUGUACGAGCUAGGUUCCAUUGUUGACGACUAUGAGGGAAUUGUAAUAGAAGGCAACAUACUGGCUGUCCGUAUAGAACAGUUCAGAUAUGUGCUGAAGACUUGCAACUUGCUGAAGAAUUGACCAACUGUAGUCUCUUGAAAUCCAACAAGCAUACUGUAGAAACAUUGUCUCAAAUGCUAGCCCAUUGAUGUACGGACACACAAUAAAAUUCUACAAUCCAGUUAUUUUCAUACAGGAUUCAGAUACCAGACAAGAGAUGCACGGCUUGAGAGGCCACAACAGUGCAUAGGUUAACCAAGUUAUAUUUAUUUGAUGCUACGAAGGAAGGUGUUUAUGGAUUCUUGAUG